rnacentral:rRNA from 1 species
UGGGGAAUAUUGGACAAUGGGGGGAACCCUGAUCCAGCCAUGCCGCGUGUGUGAAGAAGGCCUUAUGGUUGUAAAGCACUUUAAGCGAGGAGGAGGGUACUGGCAUUAAUACUACCAGGUACUGGACGUUACUCGCAGAAUAAGCACCGGCUAACUCUGUGCCAGCAGCCGCGGUAAUACAGAGGGUGCGAGCGUUAAUCGGAUUUACUGGGCGUAAAGCGUGCGUAGGCGGCUAAUUGAGUCGGAUGUGAAAUCCCCGAGCUUAACUUGGGAAUUGCAUUCGAUACUGGUUAGCUAGAGUGUGGGAGAGGAUGGUAGAAUUCCAGGUGUAGCGGUGAAAUGCGUAGAGAUCUGGAGGAAUACCGAUGGCGAAGGCAGCCAUCUGGCCUAACACUGACGCUGAGGUACGAAAGCAUGGGGAGCAAACAGG